UAUGUGGGAUGGUAAACCGCUU
rnacentral:miRNA from 4 species